rnacentral:ncRNA from 1 species
GUAAAGACUGCGAAAAGAAGAGUAGGUACCCGAUACAUUCACAGAGAGUCCUGUUGCUGAGAGAGGAUAUAGCUUGAAGGUACUGAAUAUGGUCUUGGAGUUGCGCACCGAACACCUGCAUACGGGUAUAAGGCUGCGACGGUCUCACCCGUUAUAGUGAUAAAGUAUAAGGUGAAACACAGCCGCAACUUGUUUGCAGCUUCAGCAUCCGUACUUGAUGAGGCCUGUGUUGUGAGGCGCGGGUAAAUUUGGGGUGGUAACACGAAGUCAUACUCUCGUCUCCGAA